UUCAACACCCUACGGAGCAGGGACCAUGCAGGAGGGGCUGGGUGGGGCUCUCCCCAAUACCUUUCUCUCAGAGAGCAGCUGGAGCCCCAGACGCAGGGGGCCCUACAGAGAAAGUCCUGAUGAAGGACAUGGUUUUCCAGUGAAGGUUCGGGAUCCAAUGGAGAAGUGUUCCCAAAAUGAUGUUCCCAAAGACGGCCAGUGACUUUCUGUUCAGGCACUUGAGAGAAUUGCCAUGUCUUAGGGCUGCCAAACAGUUGCCUGUGUGUGUGUCAAGGUUCAAAUCCAAUGAAUACUGAGGCCUUGGGUAGAACAUGUUCCCACGUUUGAUUGUGCCUGGCCUGUCGUCACAUUUUUUUUCCACUCUCGGAGCUGAACAUGGAGCUGUGUCUGUUUGAAAGGGUCUCCAUAUCGUGAGAAGUUAUACUGGGGAUCUGAGUCUCCAGUGGGUUUUCCCUGACAAGCGAGCACCCGUCCCAGUCACCAUAUCCCUAUCAGGAGUCCUUGUCCUGGGCGUCUGCUCUGGGGUCUUCCUCCAGCAGAGGAGUUGGCAAGGGUCCACGUUUAGGACCUGAGUUUUCUGAGACCCAGCACCCUGUCCAUGGUGUCCUGCCUGUCCUGGGGGAGGGAGUGUGACCCAGCACCGGGGGCCACCUUCUCCCAGGAUAUUCUUUCUCCAUCUUUAUCCUCCUCCUGUUUCCUCCCCCAUCUCUCCAAGUCCUCAUCCAAGGCCUGCUACCACCGUAUUUAACACAGCCCCAUAGCCCGGACACCCAGAGGACAGCACCCCAGGAGAAGCUGGGUUACCACACUGACCCAGAAGCCCAGACAAGGAGGGGCAGAGGUUCCAGACACCCAGGCAGGCUUAGACCUUAGCCUCAGACAAGACAGGCAAGGGAAGAAGCUCCCCUCAUUUCACUUGGGAUCUCAAAGAGGAGAGAAGCUGGGAAACUUACCAAGGAUGGUCAGCUGGGUGCCGGCUCCGAGCACAGCACACAGUGACACAGCCCCACACACAAAGCCCUCCUGACACACCAGACCCAUUCCCCGCUGCAGCUGCUGGGGUGCCCAGGUCCAGCGGCCCUGUCAUGAAGCAGGCCUGGCCGAUAGAAGGGUAAGGCGGUUGGUCCCUAUGAAGGAUGCACACUUUCCUGGAAGUUAGGAAUCCCUCCAGAAUGGGGAGCGGGAGGAGGCAUAUCUGCACAUCACAUCUGGAUGUCCUGGAGGAAGCCAUUUGUCCCGGCUAGGCUCCUUUGGAGACUGUCACCACGGAAGAAGUGAGAAGUCUGUUUAUGCCACAGGGAAGGUGGAGCUGGUCCCUAUGGAGAACUGAGGCCCUGGGCGGGUCCUGGAUGCCUAGCACAGGCCCUAGUGCGAUGCCCAAGUGGCAACGAUUCCAAAUAGCGGGAGGAUGUGUGUGUGUGUGUGUGUGUGUGUGUGUGUGUGUGUUUGCAUGCAGGCAUGUUGUGAAUACCUGUGUGCGUAUGAGGUGUGCAUGUGUGUUUAUUUUGGGGAUAUGUGUGUAUGUGAGUUUGUCCUGUAAUCCAGGCUGCCACCCCGUGGUACCUCCCAGGACAAUAAUCAACCAUGUUCUUAGGCCCCACAUACAGCUCUUAAAAAGACCAGUCGGUUUACAGGCACGUCUAUGGCACUGGUCUGGAAUCUCAUGAUUGACUUUGACCUCCCCAGGUCCCACUGACCAUCCAUGGACACCUGGACAUUAGGUUCUUGAGGUGUGGUCAGUUUGGGGCUGGCUAGUUAGGGGUGAGAGAGAGCAGAGUUGACUCUUAUCCCCCAGGGGACUUGAGUACAAACUGGGACACUGGUGACACAUGUGGGACCAGAGGUACCGAGCUGGCCUGUGGGGUGAGUGACGCGGGUCCAGAGGGUCAUGGUCCAGUGGGCACCUGCUUCAGAGAUGGAUGUGGGGGUAGAUGGCAGGAUCUUGGGAGUCAGAAACAGGGUGGGGCCCUAAGGAGUUGGGGAGACCAAGGGCCCAUGGACUGGAGAGGCUCCUUUGGCCUGAGAAAGAAGGACCCCUCGAGAGAGGGAGGCUGUCCAGGGGUGAGGCCUGUCAAUCCAUGGAGGGAACUCAUUCUCCUGGAGGCCAUGGGGAACGAAGGAGAGGUGGCUCCAGGCCGUGAAGGUGGCCAUGUCCACACAAACCCACCAUGUAUGGGAGAGAGGGUCAAUCCUGGGCCUGCUGCCCAAGGCUCUGUUCUGAAAUGUCCUCUGGACCUUUUUAGGUGCUGGUGGAACUACCCCUCAAAAGCAAUCCAGACCCCAUUCCCUGGCUCCAUUCCCACAAGGCUGAAAGAAUUCUGCCAUCUUGCAGGUGCCUAAGAAGGGACCGGCUGGAGGAGUUUGGGGCUUAGCAAAAAGGCAAUGGUAGCAGACCCCAGAGAGAUUGAGACGCAUGCCCCAGACAGAACACAAAGGAGAGGAAAGUGUCCCCUGAGCUCACCCUAGACCAGAAGCAGAGAAAAAGGGGACUCACCGAGGACUGUCAGCGUGGUGCCCCCGCCGAACACAUAACACCGUGAUAGAACCCUGCACACAAACCCUCCUGAUAUGCCAGUCCCAGGCCCCCCUGCAGCUGCACAGAAGGCCCAGGGUCCAGCCCCCUCUUCUCAUGGGUGGGUGAGCCACAGGUGGGUCGCCUUCCACUGACCCAAGCAUCACUUCCCUGGGGGCUCAGGAGUUCAUCCACCCUGGUCAAGAGAGGUAUUGACAGGUCUGUGUGUGGAGUUGUCUUUCAGGUAAUCGCAUUUCUGAGGGACAGUUGGGUGGCCUGGAUCAGCUGGUGUCAGGAAUGCCCGGGAGGAGGAGGAGGAGGUGAGCAUCGGGUGACACCACUGACAUGGUGCAGCUGGGACCCCUCUGAGAAGCUGGGAAUGGUGGGGAGGGUCCUGAAUGCCCCCCACAUCCUCAGCACUGGAGCUUACGGUGGGAUCGGCUUGGAAUGGCACCUGGGGGUUGUGGGGAGAAUGAAGUUGACCAUGGGGACACAGACCCUCCUGCAAGGCCUGAGCUCCAGCAUCCUUGGCUCAGAUGAUCUGAAGGAGCAGCUCACAGAUCACUGCCAGAGUCCCCUCUCCCAAGCCUGUGGGGCAGCUUCUUCCCUAUGGGCUGUGGGUGCUGGAUCAGAGCUACAGUGGAGCAGAGGAGAGGUCCUCAAGGGGGUCAUAGGCCUCACUGGCAGAGUGGUUUCCUCCAGAAGCCCUAUGUGUGGGUGUCUCUGCUGUCCCCUUCAGCUCCUUCUGGCUUACACAUUCACCCACAUGAACGUGUUCUGCAGUCUCUUGUGGGCACAAGUGACCCACACAGCCUGUCCUCAGGGGUGUCCCCAGCACGGGAUGCACCCACAGUGGAUGGGCAUGUGCAGUUUGGGGCCUGGACACAUUGGGCCUGGACCUGCAUCCUGGUCUGGACCCAUCACCUGAAGAGCUCACACCUGGGACACACACCUGGCACCCCACAGUCCCCAACAGUAUCCCCCCACAGCAAGAGCCUCACCUGACCUCUGAGAUGUGGCCUCUUGCUCCCUGAUCAGAAUCCUGUCCUCAUAGUCUCCUGUCUCAUUCUUGUCCUGGACAGAAAAUCUUGCCCCAUUUUCCCAUGCCCAGGGGUGAUCCCCUAGUCCCAAAACCUGGAGACUGCAGGUCUAAGCUUUGCUUUGCUCAUGUCCCAACCUAGGCCUGACUGAAGCCCUUUUUACCUGGGCACUUCCUGAUCCUCCCAGAAGGAUGCCCAACAUGGGCAUGUGUGUGUGUGCACUGUGUGUGUGCACGUGUAUGUGUGCAUGUGUGUGUGUGUUACAGCUCAGAUCCCACACUGUGCUCUUCAGAAGACAAGUCAGCUUCAUCCAAGCCCCUGGCAUAAGCUCAGCAUCUGACUCUUGACUUUGAACUCAACUCACCAGCCAAUUGAUAACUUGUGCACUCAGGACAUUAGACACUCAUAGUGGCAUCAGUGAGGAGCUGACACUUGUCCCCUAGGAACCUUAAAUACAGCUGGGACAUCCAGUGACACAUGUGGGAUGAGAGGCACCCAGAGGGGACGGUGGGGUGAGUGACCAUGGUCCAGAGGGUAAGGGUCCUAUCAGUGACUGUUACAGGAAGGCCCUGUCGGGGCAGAGGGCUGGGUACUUGGGAUGACGGGAACAGAGUGUGCCCAGGAGGAAGGGGACAUGGUCUAGGCUUUGAUGAGAGGAAAUAUGGUGGGGUGACCAUAUGGUCUUGGAGGGGGAUGAAAAAAACACCCUGAGGGAGGAACAGCAUCUGGACAGUGAGGGCUGAGGGCAACAGGGAAGGGAGCUGAGAUGUUCUCCUGGGACCAUGGGGAUGUGAGGAGGGUGUGAUCCCGGGCAGCCAGAGGUGGACAUGUCCAUAGGGCAUCAGGAAGCACAGCAGAGACUUGGGUAAGAAGGAAGAUGCCAGGGUCUGACUAUUUCCAUGUUCUGGAACAUUCUAUGGGGAUAGGGUGAUGAACAAAGUGUGCCUCAGAGAAACAUCAGGAUGUUCUGUGGCUGCUUUGUCACAAGUUCAGAGGAUUCUGUUCACCUUGGGAGAUGGUAAAAUUUAGGAUGGACAAUGUGUAAACAAAAAUGAGCAGACAGCAUGUUUUCUGAUUGACAAGGAGGAUAUUUAUUGCGAGUUUAUUGGGUGUAGGCAGAAGGGCUGGAUGACUUGGGGUGGGAGGGAAUCUGUCCUGGGAUCAGGGUUGGGGUCCUAAGGACAUCCUGCAGUGGCCACUGCCUUCUCCAUGAUGCUCCCCUCCUGCCUGACGUGGCAGCUGUAGCUGCUGCUGGACCUCCACUGCUUGGGGUUCAGGCUCAGGUAGCUGCUGUCCGCCCAGUUGUUCCUGCUGUGUUUGGAGGGUUUGGUGGUCUCCACGUCCUUGGUGACGGGGUUGCCAUCUGCCUUCCAGUCCACUGUCAUGGUUCCUGGGUAGAAGUCACUUAUGAGGCACACUAAUGUGGCCUUGUUGGCUUGGAGCUCCUCAGAGGAGGGUGAGAACAGAGUGACCCGGGGCGGGGGGGCCUUGGGCUGACCUGUGAGGUGAGCGAGGGGUAGGAGGUCAGAGUCUUGGUGUCUACCUAGGGAGCCCCUGACCUCAGUCUUGAAGUGAGUAUGGGACUAAGGCCCAGGGCAGGGACCUCAGGCCGGACCCUUGCUGGACUGAGGUCAGGUCAAUGGUGAGCGGAGACACUCACUGUCAGAUAGAAGGCUCUCCAGUGCCCCACUCUCGGGGAGUCACAAACCCCCUCUUGCAUCUGCCUCUUUUUCAUAUGUCCCAUCACCUACAGACCCCCACCUGUGCUCCCUCCACACUGGAUGGGAUGGAGUCCCCUUCAUCCAUUGGGGACCACCUCUCACCCCAGGUAUCUGUCUGUGUUGGGGGUGUCUGUCUGAAUGCCUCCUACCAACUCCCCUUGUUCUCAUCUCUUCAUGCAGGGCAGCUGCUGGUCCUGGGUUCAGGGAGUGGGUUUCUUGCCACACAUUCCCCUGGCACCAUCAUUGCAGCCCCCAGCCACUUCCCUGCAGAGACCCCUCUGGGCUGCCUGGUGCUGGUGGAACUACCCCUCAAAAGCAAUCCAGACCCCAUUCCCUGGCUCCAUUCCCACAAGGCUGAAAGAAUUCUGCCAUCUUGCAGGGACAUACACACAGGAAAAAGUCUGGAAGUACACAGAACAACUUGACAGUGGCCACCUCUGGGAAGAGGUGGGAGAUGGAUGUUUGUAGAGUGAACAACCUCGGAAGGUACAGAGACUGCCACUCUUUGGAGCAGAAGGCAGAUAUGCUUGCUGUCAAGUAUAAAAUGUUUGGGAUCCCUGAGCUCUAGCAUGCAGAUGUCGCCUGGCCCACUUUGCAUCACCUUGUGGAACUGGUGCUAGACAGUGCUAAUACCUUGGCAACCGCUACUGCUGUGAAAGACAGACGAUCCAUUGUCUCUGACCCAGGAGUCUGACAUCUUCUGCCAGCAUCCAUUAACACUGUGGGACCUCCAGCUUGGGAAGACCCUCAGGGUUGGACUCACUCACACCUCAGAUGACCACCUGCUCUUCCCUCUGACACCUCGUAGGGAAGGGGUUGUGGAGCAUCAACUCACUGUGACAUCACCUGCCCCUGAUAUAGGCCCUGAGGCCCCAAAUCGAGGUGACACCUACAACUUCCUCUCUCUGGGACUCUCUUCCCGCUGGUAUGGGGAGCACUCCAGGCACAUCAACCACCAGUGUCCAGAGAGGUGACACCAUGAGGCCGGCACAUGUGCAGGGAUCUGCUGUUGCUUCUCAGUGGUGGUUCCCAGAAUCAAACGUCACCUGUAUCAUGUGCACAUGGAGUGCUGGAAGACCCAGCAGAUGCUGUGUGAUAGCUGUACCUGGAGCAGCCACCCUGAGGUCUUGUAUCAGCAAGGAUGAAAACAUCACCAACAUCAUAGGACUGGUGGAAUAGAGAAUGAGAAAGACACGGUGUCUUCAUGGAAGUGGCAGGUAUUAAUGCAGGGAGAAAUACGCCCUUAGCUCUUUGUGCCUCUGUUUUUCAUAUGUGUGCUCUUGUGGUAUAAACGUAUUCCUGAUCAAGUAGAAAAAUAAUGAACACCAAUCAAUCAAUUAAUAAAAUAAUGAUAGGCAAAGAAUCCAACAGUUGUAAACGCUAUGCACACAAUGAAAAAGAUGUAGGCAGAAAAUGACAGGCAGUCUGUGUUAUAAUAACAGCCUGGAGACACCUAAAUUGCAGGGUGUCUCUGGAACUGCUGUCAGGACUGAAAAAAGGAAUGAAUCUCAGAAGCUGUGUGGGGAACGGCAGAGUCAGGCCCCCGUGGAAAGAGUCUGGCAUGUGUGAGGAUCCCAGAGGACUUGGCAAACCUGAAAGGGGUCCCAGAUUCAAGCCAGUGGAGGCUCAUUUAGCUAUUUUAAUACACAAGUAAUUUGGGGGCAGGAGUCAUGUG